UGGGGCAAUGGUGGAACUUUAUGAACUGGAGCCAUGAAAACAGAUACCAUUCUAUAAGGCUGAAAUUGGCUGAUUUCAAGGUUUCUGAGCUUAAGACAUCUAUUUACCAAAAUGGAAAGGAAGGAGAAUCCAUGAUGGCUCUCAGAAGUUUCUGCCCAGAUGUGAUACAUCAUGUUUACCCAUGUUGCAUUGGCCAAAGCAAGUCACACAGCUUAUCUUCAAAUGAGGUGUUUCCUUUCCACAGCCUUCACCCCAACCCUGUGCUACAACACGGAGUGCUAAGUCCUACUGGCCUUCAUGCCUAUACUUCAGUGGUCUUUUCUAGCCAUCACCUUCCUCUCCAGUUUGGUAAGAUGUCCCUCCUUUAUCCAUUACAGCACAAAUCACAUCAUAUCAUCGUUUCCUAAUGUCAUUUUUCAUGAUGGCAAAUCAGUCUCAUCUAUUAAAAAGCUAGUCUUCUUCUCUAAAAAUGUCUUUUAAUUAUGAAUUAUUCUUACAAAAGAAUAUGAUGCUUAUUAUUGCUUUAAAAGUCAACAUGAAGACAAAGAUGGAUAUAGACUGAUUAUUGGCAUUUUGACACCAGAUAUGCCUCCCUAAAAUCAGCUAAUUGCUUACUAACCCAGUCAAAGCCAAGCUAGAGCCCCACCCCUUUAGGUUGAUCAUAAACACAAAAUAAGACAUGGAUACAUAAAUUGUGGAUCUAUAUGUGAUUAUAAAUUUAUUACAUAAACAAUCAAGACUAUGCUUAUAUUUAAUAUUUUAAAAGAUAAUUAUCAAAGUGAACAUACUUAAUUUUUAUAGAGAUUUUUCCUAACCCAUAGAAUAUGUCUUUGGUCCCCCAAAGGUCUAAAUAUCCCACUUUGAGAAACAUUGUCCUGGAGAUUGGAUGAAACAGAAAAUAAGAAAAAUAAGAGCAGGAAGCUAACUAACUCACCUACAGCAUAAUGCUUUCACAGAAUUCUGAACUAACCAUAUGAAGAAAUGAUGGCUGACAGAUAAUUUGCAGAAAACCUCAAAAUAUACUGGACAUAAAAAGAUUUAUUCUGGAUUACAAGUAAAUGCCAACCAGACAAUCGAGACAGAUGUAAUUAACACAAACUGAAGAAGACAGAGAGAGUAAAGCAAUUUUUUUGGCAAAGGAUUAUUGCUUGAAAUCUUCUUCCUGCUAGGCAACACUGGACACUGAUUUGAUUUUUAUUGCAAUGCAGUGAUAACAAAGUCACAUAUCAUUAAGUUUCCACAGAGGACAUUGAAAAGAAAAGCCUCGUUCUUUUAGAUGCUGUUACUUAAACAUUGGUCUUUAGCCUGGGUCAAGAGAUUUCUCAGCCAGUUGACCGGCUUUCCAGAAGUAUUCAGAGUGGGCUCUCUAGGAAGUGCAUUUGGAGAAGGGAAAGGCACGGCUUGGCAAAACUAGGCCUAUGUGACUUCGCUAACUAUAGAACACUUCCAGUUUCAAGAAAUUCACAGAACUGGAUUCAGAGAAAGAACAGUGUAGAUACAUCCAAGCAUGGGCAUGUUUGUUCCUCUAAUCCUUUGCCUUUUGCGUGUUUAAUAAUUUUUUAAUAUACCACACAUGCAGUACUUUGUAAGUAAAACAAAAACAUAAAGGAUCUCUGCAGAGCAAUUCUAAAACCCCCUGAUAGCCUUCCACUAUUUUCUUCUGGGAUGGUAGCAAUCAUUCAAAUGGAAAAAAUGACCUUGUUUAAUACCUCAUUGAACAAGAAGACCCCUUGCCUAUAAAAAGCCAUAGUUCUAUUACCUCAAAAUCAGCUACUGCUUGACCACUGGGGCAGAUUAUUUUGAAUACUUUUCCCAAGAGGGCUUCUCAUUAAAAUGACUUUGCCUCAAGAGCUAAUGUAAAAACCUAUUUCACUCAUU